rnacentral:tRNA from 1 species
GCUAUUAUAGUUUAAAUAUAGAAUAUAUAACUUGUAAUUAUAAGGUUUUGAGUAGCU